UACUAACGAUGUACAAUGAAAUCAUAAAUUAUCCAAAUUUAUUCUGUGAGAUCUUUUAGGUUAUAAAAAUAACGAUUUUAAAUGAGGAAGUGUACGUCAUUGUCAGUAAUUUAUAUUCCUUUUUGUUCUCUAUGAGUACAACCUCAAGUGUGUGUCCUUUGUGAUAACGAAAUUGAUUUGAAUUAUUGAUAGUGAUAUUUAAAAAGAAUAUUGAUAAGGAAUUUAUUAUUUAAAAAAUUAUUUCUGAAAAAAGUAUUAAUCAUAAUUAAGAAAUUUUACGUUUUAGAAGAUUAAACAUAUGUUGUAAUUGCUUUUAUCAUCUUACGUAAUUAACAAGAUUGUUUUCAACUAUAUAAAUGUCCGGAAUUGAUAAUUAUAAUUAAUUGAAGCUUUAAUUUUAACAUAAUUGUAAUUUUAAAGUUAACUUAAACGUCAAAAGUGACGUUUUUAAUUUUUUUUAGGUUAUGUUAAAACUGACAAUUAAAUGUCAUUAUAAUUUUAAUAUAAUUUUAGCAUUAACCUAAUAUUUAUAACGUUUCUAAUCCUGAAUGAACUUUAAUUUAGUUAAUUUAUGUAUAUACAUCUUUUUGUGCAUAUAAAUUCAUCUUUGGAGUUAAAUUCAAAGUUAAGUUUGAGAAAAUGUAUGGAAUUGUACUGGAUAGAUGCCAUGCUUCAAAUAAAAGUAUGGAAUUAGCUUGGUCAGGCUCAAGACUUCAAAAUCAAGUCUGGAAUUAGUACUACCAGACAAUACACAACAAAAAUUAGUUUACACUUACUCUAGACUGAAGGAAAAAGUUUUGGAAAAAGGGCAAAGCCUUUAAAAUUAAAAAGUAAGUUUAGAGUACAAGAUAACCUAAAAGACCUAAAAGAAAAGUAAAAACGAUAUUGCUGAGAAUGGAAGAAUGUAAAGUAAGACUGAACAUAGAGGAGAUGGAGACUGGUAAUUACAGAAAGAGGUUUAUAAAGGAACAACUAGACUGGACAGAAAGGAGGAAGACUAGAAAGGGACUGGUAAUAGAAGAAAUACAUCUGUCAUGACAAGAAUAAGACAGAUAAUAGAAGAAAGAGUCUGGAAACAGUAAACAGAUGGCGAAUGGAGACUAGACAGAGAAGAAAAAACUGGAUAGAGAUUGUGAUGGAAAUAAAUAGACAGCGAGCAAGAACAGAGGAGAGGAAGAGUAGAAAUACUGGACAGAAAGCUCUAAAACUGGAAAGAAAUGGGAAAAGACUAAGUACAAAAGAGGAACACUAUAAAUUGAUUAUCAUGGUAAAACAGAGCACAGGGGAGACUUGAAACUGACUGCUAUGACAAGAAUGGUAAUGACAGUAAGGUACUGAACAUAGAAAAACGAGGUAGAAGGGAAACACUGACAAGUGAGAAAAGAGACUGGGUAGAAGUAUGCGUGGACACUUGAAGUAGAUUAUUAAUAGGAGGAAGAGAGGAAAAAGAUAUAAUUCUAAGAGGAGGGAAACUGAUAAUAGAAGAAAUGGAUUGAACAGAGAUUAGAAUGAGAAGAAGAGAUUGGGCAGAAAAACAUUUAUCACAGUAUUUUCAUAAAUAUAAUUAAAAUUUGAAGUUUACAACAUUAA
rnacentral:lncRNA from 1 species